rnacentral:rRNA from 1 species
CCUACGGGAGGCAGCAGUGGGGAAUUUUGGACAAUGGGGGCAACCCUGAUCCAGCCAUUCCGCGUGAGUGAAGGAGGCCUUCGGGUUGUAAAGCUCUUUCGGCAGGAACGAAACGGUGGUCUUUAAUACGGGCUACUAAUGACGGUACCUGAAGAAGAAGCACCGGCUAACUACGUGCCAGCAGCCGCGGUAAU